AGCUUUGUGCAGUGACAGUAUUUUAGCCAAUGAGGUUUAUCCCAGGUGUGAAUAUUGCUAAUUGAAACUAGGGAAUUGGUUGCAGACCCAGGGUAUUUACACCUAUUCAGGCAGCUUCUGUCUCGAGUGGGA
rnacentral:snRNA from 1 species